CGAGCUAGAGCUUUUGAGAAGAAGUAUAGGACACUGCGACAGCAUUGGGUGGUUCUCACAUUGUCCCAAACCAUCACUUCAUGAUCAUCAGGGUGAACGCAUUCCCCGACCGGUUGAUAAGGGAAUGCAUCAAAGUCCAGAGUGCAAGCUGAUGUCAAGAACAACAAGUCAGUAAAGAGAACUACAGAAGCACUUGAAUUAGGCAAACAAAAGCAGGUCAGCGCAAUAGAGGAUUAAAACUACACUGUACUGCCAAAGACCUGUUGAAUUUGUUGAGCUGAGGAAGAGGGAGAGGAUUGUGAGAAGCACUGCAACAACCUUCAUCCUUGUUUAGGAAGUUGUUUCUGGAGAUGGAAUUAAAAGAGGGAAUGACGUGCAUGCUUUGAUUUAGCUGUGUCAUC
rnacentral:lncRNA from 1 species